CAGGGUUUCGAAAUUGCUCUGGUUAUCCACUUCUUACGGAAAUCACAACUGAAAAAUAUCGCUCAAGAAUCGGGACAGGGGGUAUCAUAUUUUGGUCUGUGGGAUUAUCGAUAGUGCCUCUGAUUGGAUACUUAGUUCCUGCGUGGAGAAUGUUCUUGCUUGUGACAGCUACUGUCGGAAUUCCUGUUCUCUUUUUCUGGUGGU